ensembl:snRNA U6 U6 spliceosomal RNA
UUGCUUCAGCAGCAAAUAUAUGAAAAUUUGAAUGAUACAGAGAAAAUUUGCAUGGCCUCUGUGCAAGAAUGACAUGCAAAUUGUGAAGCAUUUCAUUUUUUA